UGGGUGUGGUAAUGGGGCAAAUAUUGCUUUGCCCCAAGCUGUGCUUUGGCACAGAAAUCAAGAAUAUGUUGGUUUUGGGUCAUAAUGUGUUCUAGGCCAUCAGUUCCGGGGAGUGCGGAUGAUAGGAAUGCCACCAGAUAUUCGAGCCCGGGUGAUGAUGCCAAAUUGCCCUAGUCCUCCAAGAACACCAUAAAAAAGAUCAGCAUUCUCCUUAUCUGAACAGUAUGUAGGGGCCGGGAAGGGGGUGCCAUUGCCAGACUCUUGAGGAAGAGUGGAAAGUUGACCAGUUCAGAAUGAAUGGCCCUAGGAGACACUAAAGGUGGUCUACAACUCUCAACCUAUCAAAAGU